rnacentral:misc_RNA from 1 species
AAUGAAGAACGUAGCGAAAUGCGAUACUUGGUGUGAAUUGCAGAAUCCCGUGAACCAUCGAGUCUUUGAACGCAAGUUGCGCCUCAAGCCAUUAGGUUGAGGGCACGUCUGCCUGGGCGUCACAUAUCGUUGCCUGAUGCCAGUUUCCUCGUGAUGGGUGACUGUGCAGGGCGAAUGAUGGCUUCCCGUGAGCAUUGUUGCCUCAUGGUUGGUUGAAAAUUGAGUCCUUGGUAGGGAGCGCCGUGAUAGAUGGUGGUUGAGUGACGAACGAGACCCAAUCAUGUGAGACCCCUACCGAAUUUGGCCUUCAUGACCCACAUGCGUCUUUGGAACGCUCAUGACGAGACCUCAGGUCAGGCGGGGCUACCCGCUGAGUUUAAGCAUAUCAAUAAGCGGAGGA